rnacentral:lncRNA from 1 species
GGACCCAAGCCUACUUUGAGGAGUGAGUCACAGCCCUGAUGUGUGCCUUGCAUUAUUCUUUCCCCAGGUGUGCCCGGAGACUCAAGCUUGCUCAUUUCUGUCCUGACACAUCUCGCUGGUCCUGCGGUGGUCAGAGUCCUCCUGUGCUGUGUCAGCUCCUAGACAUCAUUAGUCUUUCACGUGAUAAAGAUUGGAAGCCAUGAGAAAAAAUCUUCCUCAAAUCCUAACCAAGAUGAUUUCCGCUCAAGUGCUUGAAACCACCACCAAAGAUGAAGAAUCUCUUUAAAGCAGCCAAAAUGAACUGUUUCAUUUUGAGGGAACACUUAAUAGAAUGACAACAGACUGCUCCAUAAUCAUAAAUGUAAGUAUAAGACAGUGGACUAAUAUUUGUAAAGUGUCAAAAAUGUGACUGCCAAUACAGAGAUGAAUAUGGAUUGGAAAUACCUUUUACAUAAGAGGAUAAAAGGAAGAUCUUGUCACAUAAGUAUAAUAAAAAAAAAGGGGGGCUUUAUACCCUACUAAGGGCUUCUAGAACAGCACCCAUGAGAUCUACUUGAAAGAUAAUUCCAACACCUCUGCCACAUUUGAAUCUGGCUUUAUUAAUUGCUUUUUCUCUUAACAGUGUUUCCUUUAUGUAUCUUUUCUGUUUCUGUAUAUGUCUGGUAAGUUUUACUCAAAAAGUGAACUAUGUAGAGUAGAUUAAUAUAGAAAGCAAAACCCGCAUGUGUUCCCUUUUACUAGGCUGUAUGUGUGUGUUUUGAGAGAGAAGGUUGAAUCAAUCUAGUCAGGAGUUGAUUUGGUUUUGAGACUUGUUCUUCUUAGAGUUAAUUCCAGUGCACCAUAGAUUUCCUGCUCAUCUAGCAUUACUUUGUGUUUCAGACUGGACUGGUUCAGCAGCUUUUCUCAGUAUCUGCUGUAUCCUCAACUUUAAGUUUCCCUCCAAAUUCCGCUCAGUCCCCCAGAAGGCACUGCUUUGACCUGUUACUCAACAAUUUUUUGCCUAGUUGGGGUGGUGAUGAGGAUGGAGAAGCAUUUUCUGUCAUUCUGAUGAAGCUCAGUCACAGGUUGACACUGUUUCUGGGUCUUCAUGGUUGGAACCUUCUUAAUGAUCCUGUCCAACCUUCAGAUGUAGGUCUAAAUCCUCCACAUAUUUUUUUCCUAUUUUUUCUUUUUCCCCUUUCCAAAGUUCAAUUAGUGUUACCAGCAUCCCAAGGGCAAUGGCAUUCCUUAUAUUUCCCUUUGUACUUUUAAGUUUUGUUACACAGGGGAGAUGGGGAGGUAAACACAGUUCUUAAAAUGUGAUAUUCUCUGAAUCUCUUCACAGACUUUAAAACAAAUGUAUGUGGCACAUAUACACCGUGGAAUACUAUGUAGCCAUAAAAAGGAUGAGUUCAUGUCCUUUGCAGGGUCAUGGAUGAAGCUGGAAACCAUCAUUCUCAGCAAAUUAACACAACAACAGAAAACCAAACACCGC